rnacentral:lncRNA from 1 species
AACAGAAUUCCGUGGAGGGAUUAUGAGUCACAUCUACUGUUUGGCCACCUGAACUAAUGGCUGUAGAUGGUCGCUUCCUUAAAAAUACUUUAAACCAGUGUUUCCAGUGAAUGUUGUCCAUGAGCAACACUUGUUUGUGAUUAGGUGGUUUUCCACUCAGAUUAACUUAGAGAUCCAAGGAUCUGUAUAUGAGAUUGGACUGGUUGAGGCCAUUUUCUUUCUAGUGGAAAAUCGUAUACAAUGGUACCUCGGUUCACAACUUGAUUCACCACCAUGAUUCUAGUAGCAAACCAAGUUGGAUGAGAACUGAAUCAAAUUCUGUGGUUUGUGACCAGAAUCGUGGAGAGAAUCAAGUUCGUGAACCAAGGCACCACUGUAAUCAAACCAACAGUAGCUCAUUGUUUGAUUCUGGAAAAUACAGAGGAUAGAAACAGUCAGACAGCUCCUCCAUUCAGGAAUUUCUCUUGAUGCAUUGUGACUGCUGCAAACUCAGAGAUAACAGAGUGUAAUGAGUGUGCAGCACUCAGGGAGCAAACACCACUGAGCUGCUUAGUUUGACUGCAGCCCUGCACCCCAGUCCGGUUCCACAUCCGGGUGUUCUGCCCGCUCCCCAUGAGGCAUCUCAGAGUGGGACAUGCAGGAAACAGCAUCCUGAGCCGGGAGCUCUUUAAGAAGUACUAAUUCCUACACGAGAAACCAAUCAUUGUUUACUAUUGAUGAAAGAUAUGAAGAUGUACUUUGUGUGGCUAAACAUAGUUCCUUCAAUGUUUAGAUCAUGAGAAUGUGGUUUCCAGAUACAACAAGCUAACAGGGCUUCAGAAAGCAAAGGAAUUACAUGGAUAUGUGGCUCACAUAUCCGAAGCCCAAUCCAGGUUGCUUCCGGCUAUGCAACGUCUUCCGAUGCCACGAGAUGGAGAUUGACCAGUGCUUGCUGGAGUCACUUCCCCUUGGUCAGCGGCAGUGUCUGGUGAAGCGCAUCCGCUGUGAGCAAAUCAAAGCGUACUACGACCGUGAGAGGGCUCUGCAGAAGCAGGAGGGUUUCCUGAAGAGGCUCAAACAUGGCAAGAGCCAGAAAGUGCGCUUCCGCCUGGCGGACAUGAUUCAGGAUGCCAUCGUCCACCACGACGACAAGGAAGGUGAGAGCGAGCAGGGUCGGGCCGGGCGUCUGGUGUCUGCCCUUACUGCUAUGUGGUGGGGAGAUGGGAAAUGUAAAGGAGGUGCCGGGUUUGGACGGUCUGAACUGUUCAAGAAACAUCAUUGAAAAUCCCAAGUCUAGAAAAUAAGAAAAAAAUAUGCAGUUUUGCUGAAGUUGUUAUUUUUUACUUUAUAAGGUUUAUGUGUCUGAAAAGCAAGUGAUUUUCUCUCAAAUUAUUCAUUCACGUUGCUAAUGAAACUUUUUAUCAACGAACUGGUUUCCUUUGAUGAUGAUUCUGGCUGUAAUAUUCAUUAAUUAUCAGCUCUUACUUGGAUGCCAUAGUACUAAAGUCAGUUCCGUCAAAAUUCUCAGGACAUAAGCGUCAAUUCAUCCAAAAUAUAAUAAUUGCUUCCACCAGGGUCUCCAUGUACUUGGUCAGUGGUUCCAGGUCUUAAUUAGAUCUUCGGGUGGUCCAUUUUGAGUUGCGUUUUACAUGGGGUGAGAUUCCAUCCUAUGCACAUGCCAUCUGGUUUUCACAGCACCAUUUGUUUAAGAGGCCGGCCGCUCUCCAGGUUUUGGGAUCUCUAUUCUAUUCUGUUAGUCGGUGUGUCUGUGUUUCCACUAGUGCUGAGCUAUAAUAUACAGCAUGCUCCAUAUAUGCCUCAGGGCCUGGAGUUGCAAUGCCUCCCACUCUGCUCUUUUGUGGAAACUCUUUUGACUUUGUUUCACCCUUACCCUUGACUGGCUUAUGGCACCAAGGUAUUAGACUUUCCUCCAAAUGCAAAAUACACAUCUCAGUCAUGUUCAGGAGACUCAGUUCCUACCUUUCAUAUAUUCCUGGGUAUGAACUCUUCUGUUCUUGUUCUUAGAAUCUACUUUCCCAAGUUGCUGUGGGGGCAUAAUGUUUCGGCUCUGGGUAUAAAUGAAGAAGGCUUCAAAGAAACAAAUAUAAAUUAAUGUGCCAGGAUUGGCUCUAAAACCAGUAGUUCAGUUAAUCUGAAAUAGGUAUUCUUCACAAGGCAUUAACCACAAUUUGCACUCCAAGAAAUUCUGAAACAGAUUUUUGUUUUUGUAGUUCAUUUCAUGCCAGAACUUUCUCUGACCCUUUUCCAUUUUUCACUUAGAAAAAUCAUUAAGAAAAUUAUAAAUGUAGUGAGACAUGUGUUUCUAAG